UUAAUAUUUGUUUAAUGUUGUACCUGUUUUUCCCGGUUUUUCACAUUUGCAGGAAAAAGACCUGAGAAAAUCGAAAAAUGACUAUCUUUAAGCAGCUCUCUACACUGAUUUCUUUUCCGAAAAGGUGCUACACGUACAAAUCGGAGCAAGUCUUUUGGUAUUAGUAGAAAAGUAUUCCACAGAAAAAUAAAAUAAAAAUAAACAUUUUUGUAAAACCAUAAGAUUCUUCGCACCACUCAGGAUCUA